AACUACGGCCAUACUACCCUGAACAUGCCCGAUCUCGUCUGAUCUCAGAAGCUAAGCAGGGUCAGGCCUGGUUAGUACUUGGAUGGGAGACCACCUGGGAAUACCGGGUGCUGUAGGCC
rnacentral:rRNA from 1 species